GAGAAAUCAUUAACUGCAGACUGCUGCCCACAGCCUUUGGUUGCCCAUCCCUGGCAGGGCUGCAGGCAGAUGGGAACAGCCCUCCCAGCACUGCAGGGAGAGGAUGACACCCCCAGAUCCUGCAGCAUCAGCGUUGGCCUCGAGCACCACCUGCAGCAUCCUGAGCUGGAUCCGUGCUCACAAACCAGGUGAUGAUCUUGGACAAAGAAAGAGAGAUGAGCGCAGAGGAAGUUCUCACCUUCAUUACAAAGCAAGCAGCGUUUCCUAUUUGUCUUUGCCCGAGGGAUGCUCUGAGCAGUGCUGUUUAACACGCACUGCAUCCAAAUGUUCUGUCAGAUGGGUGCACCUGGGUGCAGGCGCGAGGCAGGCUGCUCCCCUCCUGUCCUGUCCUGCUUCAUCUCCCAUUCCCACAGCAAGCAGGUGA
rnacentral:lncRNA from 1 species